rnacentral:lncRNA from 1 species
CAGAGUGGAGAGUCAUACAUGCCAUUCCUGGGACCAUCAAAAAUGGCAGAGGUCACACAAAAGGCAAAACUUUUAAGAGGUGUUUUAAACGUCGUAUGGGCCAAAGAGAAGCUGGAUUUCCUAUUGGAGUCAGCUGUAACACACGUGUGAUGAAAUUGGCCUGUGAGGACAAGGCAGUGAGCAGAGAGGACAGCAGUCCUUAUGAGAUCAAGCUCUAAGGUAUCCUAGAUACAUUUGGAGAAUUCACCUGAGCUACAGGAUGUGUCUUGCUCUGUCACCCAGGCCUGGAGUGCAGUGGAGCAAUCUCAGCUCACUGCAGCCUCCGCCUCCCGGAUUCAAGUGAUUCUUCUGCUUCAGACUCUCGAGUAGCUGGGAUUACAGUUUUGAGAAGAAUGCGAAGAAGAAAGGAAGAGUGAGCCUCUCUUUCCCAUCGUUACCCUCCAUUGUCCUCUUGACACCCUGCUUUCACAGAGAAAGAGUUUGAGACCCUCUCCCAGGAGCCAAGGAGAGGGGAACAGCUGGCUUCACAUCAUCUUUCUAUUCAACAAGAUACAAAAAGCUGAAGCCAGGAUGAUAGAAAAGCAACAAAGAAGACACGGUCCUUACUCAUUUCCCUUCCCGCUUCAGAGCAAAUAUGGUGCCUAGUGUUUGAAGGGAGAACUUGUGGGCAGAGCAGGAAGC